UACGAAGGGGGCUAGCGUUGCUCGGAAUCACUGGGCGUAAAGCGCACGUAGGCGGAUCGUUAAGUCAGGGGUGAAAUCCUGGAGCUCAACUCCAGAACUGCCUUUGAUACUGGCGACCUUGAGUUCGGGAGAGGUGAGUGGAACUGCGAGUGUAGAGGUGAAAUUCGUAGAUAUUCGCAAGAACACCAGUGGCGAAGGCGGCUCACUGGCCCGAUACUGACGCUGAGGUGCGAAAGCUAGGGGAGCAAACGGG
rnacentral:rRNA from 1 species